GCUAGUAAUGGCAGGCCAGCAUACUGCCGUGAAUACGUUCCCGGGCCUUGUACACACCGCCCGUCACACCAUGAGAGUUGGGAAUACCCGAAGCCUGUGAGCUAACAUUAAGAGGCAGCAGUCGAAGGUAGAAUCAAUGAUUGGGGUGAAGUCGUAACAAGGUAUC
rnacentral:rRNA from 1 species